GCCCAAACAAGCCCUACUUCACUUUUAUUUCCAAAUUCACUUCUAACCUAGAAGAUAACCUAGAAGCCGUCGCACCCAGCAAGCCUUCGCAUCACUGCCGAUCACCAAGACCGUCGCACCACCCAGCUCACCGUCGUGUUCAUCUAACCCUCACACCCAGCCCUUUCUCUGUCGCACCCAACCCUCGUACCAUCAAACGGUCUCUCGCACCCACCAGCUGUUUCUCAACGGUCAUUCGCACCCAACCCUCGCACCAUCAACGCAACCCUCGUUGGAUUCGGAACCCUCCAGCGGUGCUGCUCCGUCCACGCACCCUCAGUGGUCUCUGUCUAGGCGUGCCCUACUACUCCCUCAGUGGUCUCUGUCUCGCAAACCCUCGUUGGAUUCGAAACCCUCAAUCGUUGCUGUCUCUCCCUCAAUCGGCACCGUAAACACUGAUUCUAUUGAAGAUGUUAAUGUGAGAAAUGAGACUGCUGGCUGCCCAGCAUUAACGGAGGCUGCCCAGCAUUGACGUAUAAUUUGGCGAGAAGCCAACCUGUCUAGCAGGAGUUGCAAGAGUGCUGAAACGAAUGCACUCAACAUGAAGGCCACCAUUAUGAUUUCUUUUUGAGUUGUGACACUGACAUUCAAUACUUUCACAGAAAACACCAAGCAGAGAUCCAAACAAAGGCCGAUUUGAGAUUAUAUUUGCUGGAUUUUGGAAUCAAAGAGUUUGUUUCUGCCUUGGGAAUCAAACGCAGUAAGUGACCAGAAAAAGUGGCUAAUAAGCCAGAAAAUGAGCAUGAAGCUGAGCCUCCUUCAUAUUUGCUUUCAUGAUCAUUGGAGCAAUGUUCUUUGGUGCUGAGGCUGAACCAUUGGAAGAUGAACAAGCUUUGCUUGAUUUCUUUCACAAAAUUGAUCACUCAGAGCAUCUCAAUUGGGGUUAUAAGACUUCUCUAUGCAAGAAGCUGGACAGGAGUAAAAUUGGUCACUGGUUCAAUUCCUCAUGUCAUCUUCUUACAGUGGAUAUGGCACCUCCAACUUACAACAAGUAAAAAAGCUCACAAAUGUUUCAGAAACAAUUAUGUAUGAUCUAAGGGAAGAAGUUUAAGAGGGCUAGAGGAAGGAGGAACAACAAAGGAAAUAGAAUUUAAGUUGUAUUGUUUCUGUAUUUUUUUCAGUUUAGUUUUGGAAUUCGAACUCGAGAUUUAUUUUGUAUGAGUAUUAGUUUUUUAAUGUAUAAAACAAUUAUCGCAAAAAUUGUCACUAAUUAUUGUUUGAUUUAUCUUGUACUAAAAAUUGCAUACUAUAUUUGUAGGUUUGGUAAUAAAAAAGGAUUGAAAAUUUAA